rnacentral:rRNA from 1 species
CAGUAGCCACGGGAAUACGAAGGGUGCAAGCGUUAAUCGGAGUUACUGGGCGUAAAGCGUGCGUAGGCGGUUUGUUAAGUCUGUUGUGAAAUCCCCGGGCUCAACCUGGGAAUGGCAAUGGAUACUGGCAAGCUAGAGUGUGUCAGAGGAUGGUGGAAUUCCCGGUGUAGCGGUGAAAUGCGUAGAGAUCGGGAGGAACAUCAGUGGCGAAGGCGGCCAUCUGGGACAACACUGACGCUGAGGCACGAAAGCGUGGGGAGCAAACAGGAUUAGAGACCCGCGUAGUCCCUGUCUCUUAUAC